rnacentral:lncRNA from 1 species
GAGAUUUCAGACUUCUGUGGGACCAGAGAAAGCCUGGGAAGUGAUAUUUUAUGUUAAGAUUUAUUUAUUUCUUUCUUUUUUUUUUUUUUUUUUGGUUUUUCUCUGGUACCGGGAACCGAACUCACGGCUUUGCGCUUGCCAGGCAGGCGCUUUUGCCGCUGAGCUAAAUCCCCAGCCCCAAGAUUUAUUUAUUUCAUCCUUACAGUAGGUUCCUCAGUCAGAGGAAGACUGCCCAUUUGCGCAUGGAGCACAGUAGCACCUGUCCGCCAUGCCCAUUUCUCCCUCAGGGUGACGUGAAGCUGGCAGAUGUCACCUGUAGGUGGCCAGGGGAGCAACGUCCACAGCAGAGUGAGAAACCCUGAGACUGAGAGCCUUAGAGCUCCCACAGGGGCAGCUGGGCCCGCUGUCUGCCCUCCUUCCCGAGAGUGGGAGGAGAGAAGGCAAAGGUCCCCGAGCUGUGUCCACCUUGGAAAAAGAACAGCAGACUCCAGCACUGCCAUUCACUCAUCCCAUAUUCCAGGUGAGAAAACAGAGCCGUGCAUUCCUUAGCAACCUUCAAGAAAUAUCAGGCCAGAUGGUGGGACAGCUGGCAUUCCACACAGACCCUGCCUGCUCCACACCCUGGGACUCCUGACGGGGUCUGAGCAAGCACUGGCACACAUGGCCCACGUGACUUGUUCAAGCCACUUACUCUCUCCGAGUCUCGGUUUCCUUAUUGGUGAGAAUGUAAAUUAGUGCAGUCAUUAUGAGAACACUGCAGAGGUGCCUCUAAGAACUGAAAAUAGAACUACACAAGAUCCUGCAGUCCCAGACUGGUAGGUGUCUGAAGACAAUGACAUCAGUACAUCAGACAGACAGCUGCAUGCCCGUGUUAUUACACCAGUGUGCACAAUAGUCCGAUGAGGGAUCAACUGAGAGUCCACCAACAGGUGACUGCACAGAGAGCAGUAGUACGUAUGCAGCAUGGACUGGCAUUCAGACACAUAAAGGACAAAAUCCUGCCAUUGCAGCAACACGGAGAUCACAGUGUUAACUGAAGAGCCAGGCACAGCAAGAUAAACACUGCAUAAAGACUACACGAUCUCACUCAUGUAUGAAAUCUAAAAAUGCUGAGCUCAUAGGUAGAGAGCAGAAGAAUGAUUACAAUGAGCCAGAGCGGGUACGGGGUGGAGAUGCAGCAGAGGGGCUCAAUAAUGGGUGCAAAGCCACUGCUGGUUACAAGGAAGGUGUUCAGGGACCCUGUUACAGAAAAGGGUGAGUAUACGUAGCAGUAUUGCAUCGUAGAAUUCGACUGAGCUGGAAGAAAGGAUUUUGAAUGCUGUCAUCGCAAAGAAAUGGUAAAAGUUUGAGAAGAUAAAUGACCUCAAAAUCUUGAGCGGAUCAUUGCAAAAUGUAUAAAUGUUCCAAAACAUCAUGCUGCACCCCAGCAAGAUUUAUAAUUGUUAUUUUUCAAUAAUAAAUAGUGUG